rnacentral:rRNA from 1 species
GGUUAAGCGACUAAGCGUACACGGUGGAUGCCCUGGCAGUCAGAGGCGAUGAAGGGCGUGCUAAUCUGCGAUAAGCGCCGGUAAGGUGAUAUGAACCGUUAUAACCGGCGAUACCCGAAUGGGGAAACCCAGUGUGACUCGUCACACUAUCAUUAACUGAAUCCAUAGGUUAAUGAGGCGAACCGGGGGAACUGAAACAUCUAAGUACCCCGAGGAAAAGAAAUCAACCGAGAUUCCCCCAGUAGCGGCGAGCG